AUUGAACGCUAGCGGGAUGCUUUACACAUGCAAGUCGAACGGCAGCGCGGACUUCGGUCUGGCGGCGAGUGGCGAACGGGUGAGUAAUGUAUCGGAACGUGCCCAGUAGCGGGGGAUAACUACGCGAAAGCGUAGCUAAUACCGCAUACGCCCUACGGGGGAAAGCAGGGGAUCGUAAGACCUUGCACUAUUGGAGCGGCCGAUAUCGGAUUAGCUAGUUGGUGAGGUAACGGCUCACCAAGGCGACGAUCCGUAGCUGGUUUGAGAGGACGACCAGCCACACUGGGACUGAGACACGGCCCAGACUCCUACGGGAGGCAGCAGUGGGGAAUUUUGGACAAUGGGGGCAACCCUGAUCCGGCCAUCCCGCGUGUGCGAUGAAGGCCUUCGGGUUGUAAAGCACUUUUGGCAGGAAAGAAACGUCGCGGGCUAAUACCCCGUGGAACUGACGGUACCUGCAGAAUAAGCACCGGCUAACUACGUG
rnacentral:rRNA from 1 species